rnacentral:lncRNA from 1 species
CCACGCGCCCCCACGCGCAUCAUCUUCCUCAGCCAGUCGCUGGACUGGUUUUUCCGGUGGCCGGAUUCCGGCGAGUUUUAAAAUCACUUGUUCUCCUUCGUUUCUCAACCGUUUUCUUCGAAUUUUAUAUCAAUUUGAAGCCCUCAACAUGUAGAAUCACGAUGGACAAGUUUCAAGGUCUAAAAUUCACUAGAUUUUACCUGGGGAAGCACGAUAGUUCAGAAAUUUUGAGAACCUCCGUUCUCGGUCAUCCGACGUCCA